AGAGUUUGAUCCUGGCUCAGAUUGAACGCUGGCGGCAUGCCUUACACAUGCAAGUCGAACGGUAACAGGUCUUCGGAUGCUGACGAGUGGCGAACGGGUGAGUAAUACAUCGGAACGUGCCCGAUCGUGGGGGAUAACGGAGCGAAAGCUUUGCUAAUACCGCAUACGAUCUACGGAUGAAAGCAGGGGACCGCAAGGCCUUGCGCGGACGGAGCGGCCGAUGGCAGAUUAGGUAGUUGGUGGGAUAAAAGCUUACCAAGCCGACGAUCUGUAGCUGGUCUGAGAGGACGACCAGCCACACUGGGACUGAGACACGGCCCAGACUCCUACGGGAGGCAGCAGUGGGGAAUUUUGGACAAUGGGCGAAAGCCUGAUCCAGCCAUGCCGCGUGCAGGAUGAAGGCCUUCGGGUUGUAAACUGCUUUUGUACGGAACGAAAAGACUCCUUCUAAUAAAGGGGGUUCAUGACGGUACCGUAAGAAUAAGCACCGGCUAACUACGUGCCAGCAGCCGCGGUAAUACGUAGGGUGCAAGCGUUAAUCGGAAUUACUGGGCGUAAAGCGUGCGCAGGCGGUUAUAUAAGACAGAUGUGAAAUCCCCGGGCUCAACCUGGGAACUGCAUUUGUGACUGUAUAGCUAGAGUACGGUAGAGGG
rnacentral:rRNA from 1 species